rnacentral:lncRNA from 1 species
GUUGUUGUUAGAGACUGAAUAUUCACUAAAAGUGGCUUACACCAGGGAUUCUCAAAAUUAACUGCACAUGAAAAUCACCAGGAAGCCCAGCUCCCAUUUGGUGAGACCUGAUUUCUUUGGUAGAGGGUGUGGCAGGGCUUUAAGUGUGUUUCCCACCUGCUGCCCAGGCUGAGAACUGUGGCUUCACACACUCACUUCCCCACAAGUCUGGAGAUGGCAUCUUAGGCAUGGGUGAAGCAUGCCGUAAUGUCAUCAAGGACUCCAGCUCUCACCAGCUUCCUCCUUAGUCAUUCUUAGACUGUUGCCAGUGUCUCCACUCAGACACAGGGGCUGGCAUAGCUCUGAGGGUAAAGAGUUCAUGUACAGCAGAAAAAGUGCCAGGCGCUGUGGCACAUGCCUGUAAUCCCAAUGGUACGGAGACUGAGGCAGGAGGAUCACAAGUUCAAAGCCAGCCUCAACAAAAGCAAGGUGCUAAGCAACUUAAUGAGACCUUGUCUCUAAAUAAAAUACGAAAUAGGGCUGGGAGUGUGGCUCAGUGGUUGAGUGCCCCUGAGUUCAAUCCCCAGUAAAGCCCCUGUCCAUCCCCAAAUACAACAGAGAAAGUGAGAUCAAAAUCAAUUCCCCAUACCGGGAGUUAAGAAUAGAAAUUAUCUCCCAUUCACUACAAAUGCUAAAUUAGGGGGUUUCAUUGCCAAUUGUAAGACAUCCCUAAUAGUUAUUCCCACCAUCCUCUCCCAUUGUGAAUAUCUUACACAACUGGAGUAUAAUAAUAAUAUCAAAACCAAGAAACUGACGUUGGUACAAUUCAUAGAACUUAUUCAGAUUUUACCAUUUCAGUCUCAUUUGUGUGUGUGUGUGGUGGGGCGGGGUAACAUAAUCACACAUAGCCUGUGAAACCACCGCAGUAAUCAAGACACUCAACUGGACCAUCCUUACAUGGCUCCCUCUUGUCACCCCUUCAGAGCCAUGUCUCUCCUCUCUUCAACUCCAAUAACCAUUAAUCUGUUUUCUGUCAUGCCGCAGUCCGGCUGCAGCAAAAUAACCGGGGGGUGACGAACAACUUGUGUACAUUGAUACAGCAGGAGUGGGAGCCGUUUAUUGUCGGACAGGAGGGGUAUGUAUAC